rnacentral:rRNA from 1 species
UACAGAGGGUGCGAGCGUUGUUCGGAAUUACUGGGCGUAAAGCGCGCGCAGGCGGCCUUUUAAGUCUGCCCGUGAAAUGCCGGAGCUCAACUCCGUGCACGCCGGGGGAUACUGGGAGGCUGGAGACAUGUAGAGGCAAGCGGAAUUCCGGGUGUAGCGGUGGAAUGCGUAGAUAUCCGGAAGAACACCUGAGGCGUAGGCGGCAUCCUGGACCAACACUGACGCUGAGGCGCGAAAGCUAGGGGAGCAAACAGG